GGGAGCUUAGAUGUGGAAGCUCUUUGGAAACCAAGAAACACUCUGAAAAUGAAAAGGGUGGAAGAGUAAACUGUUCCUGUUUCUCCAUCUUGACAGGAAGCAGAAGUUCUCCUUAGCUGAUUUUUCUUCUUGCCUUAUACUGGGUUCUUUAACACCAGAACAAAAAUAAAUAAAUAAAAGAAUCUUCCAGAAAUUCAUGAAGAGACUUCAGGUCAGGAAAGCCUGAACUUUCUCAUCCAACACCCGUUCAAGUCGGAGGAUGCUGAUUAAUUCAUGAUGGAAAGGUAUCAAUUUCACAGCCCAGACCUCUACAUUCUUGAAAUGCUCUUCUCAUGGGAGACAUUAAAUAAGCUUUGAAUUAACUGAGACCUCUGUGGAUUCUAUAACUCAAAGACCCAGGCUGACGGCUGGUGGAAUAGCUACCAUCUCAAACAUGGCGUGAUGCUGCAUCAGAGAGAAAAAUAAGCUCUUGCAUUGACAAUGAAAUGUCUACCCUGUAGUGACUUGUGCUUACUUCCACUCACAAGUGAUUGCCCAGAGCUACUUACCUGGCUCCAAUCUACCACUGGGUGUGUACUUGCAAUCUACCAUGUACCUAGAAGAUGAGAGAAACAAAUUAUUAAUGAUGACCACACCCCAAUACUAACAACAAUUGCAGAAGAAUCAAUGACUUAAACAAAAAUGUGGCCAUUGAAGGAAUAGAAAAUAUAGACCUUGUAUUGAAGACAGCGUAACCCCCAAGAGGAAAGGAGCUUGGAGCCCUGAAUCAGAGUAGAAGACAGGCUGAAUGAAUACCAGCCUUGGACUGUUGUGUGAAUGAAAAACAAGUUUUGAGAUUUGUGUGGUUUAUUUAUUAUAGUUACUGUUAUUAUUAAAGUUUUUCACUGCUUUACUCUCA
rnacentral:lncRNA from 1 species